CCGUCGAUAGCUCAGUUGGCAGAGCGUUGGACUGUAGAUCCAUAGGUCGCUGGUUCGACUCCGGCUCGGCGGA
rnacentral:tRNA from 1 species